rnacentral:rRNA from 1 species
CACGGAGGGUGCAAGCGUUAUCCGGAUUCACUGGGUUUAAAGGGUGCGUAGGUGGGCAGGUAAGUCAGUGGUGAAAUCUCCGAGCUUAACUCGGAAACUGCCAUUGAUACUAUCUGUCUUGAAUUAUCUGGAGGUGAGCGGAAUAUGUCAUGUAGCGGUGAAAUGCUUAGAUAUGACAUAGAACACCAAUUGCGAAGGCAGCUCACUACGGAUAUAUUGACACUGAGGCACGAAAGCGUGGGGAUCAAACAGG